rnacentral:rRNA from 1 species
UACGGGGGGGGCAAGCGUUGUUCGGAAUUACUGGGCGUAAAGGGCUCGUAGGCGGCCAACUAAGUCACACGUGAAAUCCCUCGGCUCAACCUGGGAACUGCAUCUGUGACUGCAUUGCUGGAGUGCGGCAGAGGGGGAUGGAAUUCCGCGUGUAGCAGUGAAAUGCGUAGAUAUGCGGAGGAACACCGAUGGCGAAGGCAAUCCCCUGGGCCUGCACUGACGCUCAUGCACGAAAGCGUGGGGAGCAAACAGG